GCUGAGACAGGAAAUGACGUGAGGCUCUGAACACACUAUUACAGCAAGCAGCUGUUCUGAGAGAACUUUCUGUUUCCAGGCCCGGCACCUCAGAAUGUUGGCUUCUGUGUGGUCGGUUGUUGAAGACCAACUCUGUGCGAGGUGUUAGGUUGAGAAGAGGUGCAGCAGAGGAUGCUGGAGCCGCAGCUGAGGCUUUCCAACACUUGCUGUCAAAUUCGUUGAUG
rnacentral:lncRNA from 1 species